rnacentral:lncRNA from 1 species
AAGCAUUGAACAAAAGAAAAAGCAGAAGAAAGGCAGGUAAGCUAAGAACAAAAAAACAGGAUGGAUAAUUGGAUACCAUUCCCUCAAAAAAAGAAUAAUAUAAUAAGUUAAGGGAUUUGGUAAAACUAAUACAUCAUUAAAAUCCGUGUUUGAAAAAUUGACAACUUUUCACCUUUAUUUUAAUCAUCUCACCGACAAAACGGCAUUGGUGACACAGGAAAACGGCCAAAC